CUCUGCGGUCACUGUCACCAGUGCAGCCAGACUCUGCUGCACAGAGUCUGUGGACUCGGCCAAGUGUGAUUUGUGAGGACAGAUCCGUGCAGGAACCAUCACCGGUGCCAAACUGAAGAUACAGCCAACGCAGGAGGGACCUGAGGUGCACCAGGAAGUCAGCUGGGAGAUCAUGAGUCAUGUUUACACGUUCCCCAGAUGUCCUGGGUGCUGGCAUUACGCAGGUCUGUGAAGUUCCGCGGGUGAGAGUAACAGCACAGAGGACAUUCCCGUUCCCCUCAGCACCUGUGAGUUUACCUUCAGCUUCAGAUGAACACAGUAUCUUAUACACAACAGGCUCCUCCCUCCAGUGGCUGGAUCUCUGAAAAAAGACUAAAAUCCAUUCAAAUGCAAUAAUAAAAAAAAUGUAGUGUCA